AGUGAACGCUGGCGGUAGGCCUAACACAUGCAAGUCGAACGGCAGCACAGUAAGAGCUUGCUCUUACGGGUGGCGAGUGGCGGACGGGUGAGGAAUACAUCGGAAUCUACUUUUUCGUGGGGGAUAACGUAGGGAAACUUACGCUAAUACCGCAUACGACCUACGGGUGAAAGCAGGGGAUCUUCGGACCUUGUGCGAUUGAAUGAGCCGAUGUCGGAUUAGCUAGUUGGCGGGGUAAAGGCCCACCAAGGCGACGAUCCGUAGCUGGUCUGAGAGGAUGAUCAGCCACACUGGAUCUGAGACACGGUCCAGACUCCUACGGGAGGCAGCAGUGGGGAAUAUUGGACAAUGGGCGCAAGCCUGAUCCAGCCAUACCGCGUGGGUGAAGAAGGCCUUCGGGUUGUAAAGCCCUUUUGUUGGGAAAGAAGAGCAGCAGGUUAAUACCCCGCUGUUCUGACGGUACCCAAAGAAUAAGCACCGGCUAACUUCGUG
rnacentral:rRNA from 1 species